CUGAGACGUUUUAAAACUGGGCUCCGGUCGUUUGUGCAGCUGAGCGAACAAACUCACCAGGUCCAUGUCCUGGAACUGGAUGUUUGAAGAGGACAGUUGCUCUCUGUAUCAACCUGCAUCCCUCAGAAAGAGAUACAGAGAGGCUUUUGAGUACAUGUGUUCAUUAGUACCUGGUUAUGACUGUGGCUAACCUGAUGGCAAAUAUGAAAUAUCAAAGCACUUGUCAGCACUGCUGAAUGGGACAAAGAAAGGCUGCAUUAAUGAUUAACUGUGCUAAAAGCCCCGGCUUUUGUAUUCCCAUGGUGCCUGGGCUAUCUGGCUGCCAUGUGACAUGCUCAGGCCAUUUUCUAGCAGAUUGAGGAAAGCUAGUGAGCAAACACAGGUGCUCUGGAGUCAGCACUGCUGUCAGGGACAACCACAAACAAGACCAGCUAUGCCUGGCUAAAUUAGCUCCUCUGUUUGCCUCUGCUUCCUGGAGAUCUUACAUUUCAAGUCCAGUGUCUUUUGCCACUAUUCUCAACCAUUCACACUCUGCGUUAAAAAAAAAGCAGGGGGACCCCAACAGACAGCUAUUUUGAAGCAACAGCAUUUGGUGGCCAAAUGUGGGGAAAGAGUAAACUAAUUAACCGUGUUCAAGUCUUCAGCUUCGAAAACAAAACAAAUGUAUUUUUCUCAAGUGGGGCUACUUCUGUGACCCUGCGUGACACGCAACGGACACAAGGAUUCUGCAACCAGUAGCUAAAAACAUGUGAAGCACCUGAACAAAGUCAUAGAAUAUGAAUAGUGCAAAAGAGGCUUGCAAGAGGCUUGAAUUGCUCAAUACAAGCGCACAUACGUAGCUACUCGUGCUAUGAGUUAAAUGUUACAAGGUUGCAAAGUUAUCCCAGUGCUGGAAAGGUCCCCCUAGUGGAUAAUAUUAUUUUAAUACUCUGCUUGGCACAUGUCUGGCAGGCUGUCUUUUAUUGUUCAAAUAUUUAUAUUUGUAUAUUACAGUCCUCUCUGCUCAAAUUCCCAGCAAUUACAGGAGACUAGUAAAGCCCAGAUUAUCGGUCAAAGAUGAUAAAGGUGUUUUAAGUAAACAGUAAAAAGCAACAAGAAAGGAAAUAAAGUUAUAAAGAAAUAGAGAAAAGGAUAUGAGCAGGGUCAGCACAGCAGGGUGCUCAGCUCAGUGGAAGGGUUAUUGCCUGCAUGUUUCAAGUAAUGUCAAUAUAGGAUACGUUCACUAAACUUUACAACAUCAGCUAUGAUUUACAGAAUAUGUUUUCUGGUCUGUAAUUGGUUAUACUUUCAUGUCCAUGUUCCAUGUUCCAUGGGUCUUGAAUUUUCUAAAGAAAAACCCAAAUAAGCAAAUAUUGUAAAAUGAAAAAUGAAAUAAAUAUCUUCCAGCUCACUCUUGGUCCUUAAAUGAUUCAUGACUGUCAAUUUGGGGACUUUAUAUACCGUAAACAUUACACGCAACAGUGUGUUAUGUGCGUAUUAGAUUUGUCUUAAAGAAUUUCUAAAUUUUGUGUCUGGAAAUUAUAUUAUUUCGAAACUACUCCUUCAUGCUUUUUUAACAUUUUGGGGGGACAGAAUAACAUUUGUGAGCAAGAAAUGGCAUGUACGACACUGGUGAAAAUGUCCAUUAAAAAUAAAUUUUCAAACA